rnacentral:rRNA from 1 species
GACGAACGCUGGCGGCGUGCUUAACACAUGCAAGUCGAACGGAAAGGCCCCUUUGGGGGUGCUCGAGUGGCGAACGGGUGAGUAACACGUGAGUAACCUGCCCUUGACUUCGGGAUAACUUCAGGAAACUGGGGCUAAUACCGGAUAGGAAUCCUUGCUGCAUGGUGGGGGUUGGAAAGCUUCGGCGGUUUUGGAUGGACUCGCGGCUUAUCAGCUUGUUGGUGGGGUAGUGGCUUACCAAGGCUUUGACGGGUAGCCGGCCUGAGAGGGCGACCGGCCACAUUGGGACUGAGAUACGGCCCAGACUCCUACGGGAGGCAGCAGUGGGGAAUAUUGCACAAUGGGCGGAAGCCUGAUGCAGCAACGCCGCGUGCGGGAUGACGGCCUUCGGGUUGUAAACCGCUUUCAGCAGGGGCGAAGCUUUUGUGACGGUACCUGCAGAAGAAGCACCGGCUAACUACGUG